ACACAUCUUGGCAGGGGAGCAAACGUGAACAGCAAGGUUCUUCUCCCACGUUAAGGCUAGCCCCAUUGCACAUUGAGCGCGUUGAUGCCUGUGAUAGCCCCAAACGCAGAAUAUUCUACUGCAAAAUUUAUGGUUGUUGGGGGACCGCACUUGUGCUUUCCCUUG